rnacentral:misc_RNA from 1 species
GAAAUGCGAUAAGUAAUGUGAAUUGCAGAAUUCAGUGAAUCAUCGAAUCUUUGAACGCACCUUGCGCUCCUUGGUAUUCCUUGGAGCAUGCCUGUUUGAGUAUCAUGAAAUCUUCAAAGUAAAUCUUUUGUUAACUCAAUUGGUUUCUACUUUGGUAUUGGAGGUCUUUGCAGCUUCACACCUGCUCCUCUUUGUUCAUUAGCUGGAUCUCAGUGUUAUGAUUGGUUCCACUCGGCGUGAUAAGUUAUCUAUCGCUGAGGACACUGUAAAAGGUGGCCAAGGUAAAUGCAGAUGAACCGCUUCUAAUAGUCCAUUGACUUGGACAAUACUUUUAUGAUCUGAUCUCAAAUCAGGUAGGACUACCCGCUGAACUUAAGC